CACGUAGGGGGCAAGCGUUGUCCGGAUUUAUUGGGCGUAAAGAGCUCGUAGGCGGCUUAGUAAGUCGGGUGUGAAACCUCCAGGCUCAACCUGGAGACGCCACCCGAUACUGCUGUGGCUAGAGUCCGGUAGGGGAGCGUGGAAUUCCUGGUGUAGCGGUGAAAUGCGCAGAUAUCAGGAGGAACACCAGCGGCGAAGGCGGCGCUCUGGGCCGGAACUGACGCUGAGGCGCGAAAGCGUGGGGAGCAAACGGG
rnacentral:rRNA from 1 species